AGUGAACGCUGGCGGUAGGCCUAACACAUGCAAGUCGAACGGCAGCACAGUAAGAGCUUGCUCUUACGGGUGGCGAGUGGCGGACGGGUGAGGAAUACAUCGGAAUCUACUUUUUCGUGGGGGAUAACGUAGGGAAACUUACGCUAAUACCGCAUACGACCUACGGGUGAAAGCAGGAGAUCUUCUGACCUUGCGCGAUUGAAUGAGCCGAUGUCGGAUUAGCUAGUUGGCGGGGUAAAGGCCCACCAAGGCGACGAUCCGUAGCUGGUCUGAGAGGAUGAUCAGCCACACUGGAACUGAGACACGGUCCCGACUCCUACGGGAGGGAGCAGUGGGGAAUAUUGGACAAUGGGCGCAAGCCUGAUCCAGCCAUACCGCGUGGGUGAAGAAGGCCUUCGGGUUGUAAAGCCCUUUUGUUGGGAAAGAAAAGCAGCAGGUUAAUACCCCGCUGUUCUGACGGUACCCAAAGAAUAAGCACCGGCUAACUUCGUG
rnacentral:rRNA from 1 species